GAAUUGCGUUAAGGAUAGUAGGCGACAUCCUCGUAAUCCCGACCUUUAGGGACAACGAGAUACAGCCGGAUAGCCUGACCCGUA
rnacentral:misc_RNA from 1 species